UGAACGCUGGCGGCGUGCCUAAUACAUGCAAGUCGAGCGAACAGACGAGGAGCUUGCUCCUCUGACGUUAGCGGCGGACGGGUGAGUAACACGUGGAUAACCUACCUAUAAGACUGGGAUAACUUCGGGAAACCGGAGCUAAUACCGGAUAAUAUAUUGAACCGCAUGGUUCAAUAGUGAAAGACGGUUUUGCUGUCACUUAUAGAUGGAUCCGCGCCGCAUUAGCUAGUUGGUAAGGUAACGGCUUACCAAGGCAACGAUGCGUAGCCGACCUGAGAGGGUGAUCGGCCACACUGGAACUGAGACACGGUCCAGACUCCUACGGGAGGCAGCAGUAGGGAAUCUUCCGCAAUGGGCGAAAGCCUGACGGAGUAACGCCGCGUGAGUGAUGAAGGUCUUCGGAUCGUAAAACUCUGUUAUUAGGGAAGAACAAAUGUGUAAGUAACUAUGCACGUCUUGACGGUACCUAAUCAGAAAGCCACGGCUAACUACGG
rnacentral:rRNA from 1 species